rnacentral:rRNA from 1 species
CCUACGGGUGGCAGCAGUGAGGAAUAUUGGUCAAUGGACGAGAGUCUGAACCAGCCAAGUAGCGUGAAGGAUGACUGCCCUAUGGGUUGUAAACUUCUUUUAUAUGGGAAUAAAACGUUCCACGUGUGGGAUUUUGUAUGUACCAUAUGAAUAAGGAUCGGCUAACUCCGUGCCAGCAGCCGCGGUAAUACGGAGGAUCCGAGCGUUAUCCGGAUUUAUUGGGUUUAAAGGGAGCGUAGGUGGAUUGUUAAGUCAGGUGUGAAAGUUUGCGGCUCAACCGUAAAAUUGCAGUUGAAACUGGCAGUCUUGAGUACAGUAGAGGUGGGCGGAAUUCGUGGUGUAGCGGUGAAAUGCUUAGAUAUCACGAAGAACUCCGAUUGCGAAGGCAGUUCACUGGACUGCAACUGACACUGAGGCUCGAAAGUGUGGGUAUCAAACAGGAUUAGAUACCCCAGUAGUC